AGUCGACGGCAGCGCGGGGCAACCUGGCGGCGAGUGGCGAACGGGUGAGUAAUAUAUCGGAACGUACCCAAGAGUGGGGGAUAACGUAGCGAAAGUUACGCUAAUACCGCAUACGAUCUAAGGAUGAAAGCAGGGGAUCUUCGGACCUUGUGCUCCUGGAGCGGCCGAUAUCUGAUUAGCUAGCUGGUGAGGUAAAGGCUCACCAAGGCCACGAUCAGUAGCUGGUCUGAGAGGACGACCAGCCACACUGGAACUGAGACACGGUCCAGACUCCUACGGGAGGCAGCAGUGGGGAAUUUUGGACAAUGGGCGAAAGCCUGAUCCAGCAAUGCCGCGUGAGUGAAGAAGGCCUUCGGGUUGUAAAGCUCUUUUGUCAGGGAAGAAACGGUGAGGGCUAAUAUCCCUCGCUAAUGACGGUACCUGAAGAAUAAGCACCGGCUAACUACGUGCCAGCAGCCGCGGUAAUACGUAGGGUGCAAGCGUUAAUCGGAAUUACUGGGCGUAAAGCGUGCGCAGGCGGUUUUGUAAGUCUGACGUGAAAUCCCCGGGCUCAACCUGGGAAUUGCGUUGGAGACUGCAAGGCUAGAAUCUGGCAGAGGGGGGUAGAAUUCCACGUGUAGCAGUGAAAUGCGUAGAGAUGUGGAGGAACACCGAUGGCGAAGGCAGCCCCCUGGGUCAAGAUUGACGCUCAUGCACGAAAGCGUGGGGAGCAAACAGGAUUAGAUACCCUGGUAGUCCACGCCCUAAACGAUGUCUACUAGUUGUCGGGUUUUAAUUAACUUGGUAACGCAGCUAACGCGUGAAGUAGACCGCCUGGGGAGUACGGUCGCAAGAUUAAAACUCAAAGGAAUUGAC
rnacentral:rRNA from 1 species